CUGGAGGAGAGGUGUAGCUCUCCAGCUCACCCAGCCAGGGAAACUUCCUCCCUACCCAAGCUCUACCAACCUUCAAGCAGGCCUACCUGUAGCAGACUGCUAAAACCUUCCAAAAGGCAGCCACGCUAGAGCCUGCCUAUGAACUUCAGCAUGAGCUGCUCCGACAACAUCUUGCCAGCAGAACCACAACAACAGGAGCCACAAACCAGCAAGACCACUUCACUGGACUUCAAAAAAGGACCUUUCCCCCUUUUCCUGGACGGGUGUGUGCCAUCUCCCUCUGAUGACUCUGCGGUGACGUGGUCAGGGAUAGCUUACCAACUCACCUGCAGCUCAUCCACUAAACACCUGCAGUAAAUGUACCCUGGUCGUGAUCCCAGUCAUUGCCAGUUCCUCCGUCAACGCUACAGUGGAUUCACUGUCCGGUUCUCCUGCCAUCACUCCUCGCUGCCUGGACUGUGCAAGCAGAACAUUCACUCUCCACUUUCUCCUCUCAUCCUCUUGCCACCUUUGGUCAGAAAAUAAACACCCCUGAACUGUUCGUACUGUGUGACGCCUUGUGUUCUGUCUCUGUGGUAGUUUAAAGUCGCUUUAAACAUGACAUGUUAAGGGAAUUUGUGACAGUGUUUCUCACUAUUUCUUUGCUGACAAAGAGUAAAUCAAAACCCAAACCCCAAAAUGGUUGACUUGAGGAAUAUCAGUCAGCUGAAGGGUUUUGAACUG